CAACUGUUCCAGUCCAUAAACCAAACCGAG
rnacentral:sRNA from 1 species